GGAUUGGGUGGAAGAGCGUGUGGGGGACUUUUGGGAUAGCAUUGGAAGUGUAAAUGAAAUAAAUACCCAAUUAAAAAAAGAAAAAAAAGGAAGUAAGUGACUGAUUAGUAUUCAUUAUUAUUUCAAUUAUUAUUGUAAUGAUAGUCCCAAUGAUGUUGUUUGAAGGAUAUUUGGGUUGCUUCUGGUUUCUGGCUAUUACAAAUAGGGCUGCUGUGAACAUAGUAGAGCAUUUGUCCUUGUGGUGUGGUGGGACAUCUUUUGUGUGUAGUCCCAAAGCAGUAUACCUAUAUCUUCAGGAAGAAUUAUUUUCAAUGUUCUGAGGAAGCACCAGAGUUAUUGUACAUGUUUGUAAUCCCACCAUCAAUGGAGGAAUGUGUCUCUUUUCCACAUCUUCUUCAGCAAGUGCUGUCAAUCUAGAUUGUAAUCUUAUCCAUUGUGACUGGAAUAUUAGGGUAAUUUUGAUUUGCAUUUACCUGAUGACUAAGAAUGUUGAAUGUUUCUUUAAGUGCUUCUUUGCCAUUCAAGAUUUCUCUCUUGAAAAUUCACUGUUUAUCUCUGUACACCAUUUUUAAAAUUAAGUUAUUUGGUUUUAAGUUCAUUAUAUAUUUUGGAUACUAACCCUCUAUGUGAUGUAUGGUUAGUGAAGAUCUUUUUCCAAUCUUUAAGUUGCCAUUUUGUAAUAUUGACAAUGAAUGUCUUUUACCUGACAGAAGCUUUGCAAUUUCAUGAGGUCCCAUUUAUCUAUUGUUGAUCUGGAGUCUGAGCCAUUGAUGAACCCAAAUGUUGUCCCAACAUUCUAUUCUGUUUCAGAAUUUUUUCCCCCUGGGCCAAUGCAUUCUGAAUCAGACCUGGUCCUGUCUAAAAGAAAGACAAGGAAAAAAGUGGAGCAGAUACUUGUAAAUUUGAUGCAAAACUAUUUCAGCUUUGAAUGCUGGAGGGACAUGAGUUCAUGUAAUUAUCAUCUGAGUAUUUAUUAUACACCUUCGAACAAAGGAAAACAAAUUGUACAUACUUUAGCAGGUCAUAUAGAAAAAGAUAGUAGGUGUGAACAAAUAUGAAUAACUUAGAGGUUGUUCAUUUUACUUCAUCCUAAUCAUAUCAUUUUUAUUUUAUAAUAAUCAUACUAAUCAUAUUUUCAACAGAUUAAACUGCUAAAGAGUGGGGAUAAUUAAAAUCAUAUAACACUAUCCAUAGUUUGUCUAUGUAAAAACUUCUUUUUGAGUUCUAUAAGUAAUAAUUUGAUAGACAGAGCUCUAAGUAAAACUUUUGUGUUAUGCUUUAGAUUUGAACAUACAUUUUCUUUGAUUUUAAAACUCCAUGACCAAAACUUCUGAGCUAUAUUUUACUGGCUGCCAAGUAUCCAUGAGUGGAAACGUUUGUCAUGCACAUGGUUAUCAUUCACCUUUCAAAAGGAGCACGAGAAACAACCCUUCACACACACCAUUCAGUCCCUUCAUUAUUUUAUAAAAAAUUCUUAAGACACAGAUUCCUCAUGGUAUGGUAAGAUACACAUUCUAUAAACUGUAAUUCAUACUGCAAGCAUGUUCUCUGCAAUGUUUUUUAGUUUUUAUUAUCAGCAGAUAUGUAAGGGAUAGAAUAUUUUUCUCAAAACAUAGCUUUGUAAUUUUUUUUCUUUUUUGAAACAUGUACUGAUUUCUAUUUCCCAACUUCUUGGCUAAGUAAUCUAAUUAACAUAUAUCUUAGUAGCUUAUCUGUGAUUAUACUAAUUUUUCAAAAUAAAGUUCAGUCAAAACAAAAGGACCAAAUCUUUCCUGUUUCAAUGUCAAGUGAAAGAAUUCUGCUUUCAUUCUUAUGACAGUUUUCUGAAAGGGAAGAUUACAUCAUCGUCCAAGCGUUUCUGGAAGGAGACAACCAUACACCAGUGGAAUACUUGAGAUUAAAAAUUAAUUUGUCAGCCACAGCUGAUGAAAUGCAUAUCCACAUGCAUAAAAUCCAUGUCAUUUCUAGAAGACAACACUUCACAGUACUCGUCUGUGUCCUGACUCUCAGUUCUUUGUGUCCCUUCUUCAGAAGUCUUCUUGAAAUUUUGUGGGUAAAGAGGUUGAUACAGAUAUCUAUGUAUGGCUCAGCUCUCAGACUCAUUGAUCCUCAGCACUUCCAACAGUAAUGUGUCUCUGCAUUAACCACCACUCACUGUAGGAAGAAACUUCUUUGGCCAUGGCUACCCAGCCCUAGCUUAGGCCGUAAUGACAGUUGAAGGCUAGUAGUAGAGGAUGGAUGGUUAUUUUUCUUUAGGAGUUGAGUCCACUGGUAAGUUCUGUAUGUUCCAGUAAAUACUCAUAUGCAUAUGGUCAGCACUAAGGAUUAUGAGCUAAAAAUAUUAAUGAAAAUAAAUAAAUAAAUUGAAAGGAACAUAGGAAGGAAGG
rnacentral:lncRNA from 1 species